rnacentral:rRNA from 1 species
UACGUAGGGUGCGAGCGUUGUCCGGAAUUAUUGGGCGUAAAGAGCUUGUAGGCGGUCUGUCGCGUCUGCUGUGAAAAUCCGGGGCUCAACCCCGGACUUGCAGUGGGUACGGGCAGACUAGAGUGUGGUAGGGGAGACUGGAAUUCCUGGUGUAGCGGUGAAAUGCGCAGAUAUCAGGAGGAACACCGAUGGCGAAGGCAGGUCUCUGGGCCACUACUGACGCUGAGGCGCGACAGCGUGGGAGCAAACAGG